ACGGGUGCGUAACGCGUGGGAAUCUGCCCUUAGGUUCGGAAUAACAGCUGGAAACGGCUGCUAAUACCGGAUGAUGACGAAAGUCCAAAGAUUUAUUGCCUGAGGAUGAGCCCGCGUUGGAUUAGGUAGUUGGUGGGGUAAAGGACUACCAAGCCGACGAUCCAUAGCUGGUCUGAGAGGAUGAUCAGCCACACUGGGACAGAGACACGGCCCAGACUCCUACGGGAGGCAGCAGUGGGGAAUAUUGGACAAUGGGCGAAAGCCUGAUCCAGCAAUGCCGCGUGAGUGAUGAAGGCCCUAGGGUUGUAAAGCUCUUUUACCCGGGAAGAUAAUGACUGUACCGGGAGAAUAAGCCCCGGCUAACUCCGUGCCAGCAGCCGCGGUAAUACGGAGGGGGCUAGCGUUGUUCGGAAUUACUGGGCGUAAAGCGCACGUAGGCGGCUUUGUAAGUCAGAGGUGAAAGCCUGGAGCUCAACUCCAGAACUGCCUUUGAGACUGCAUCGCUUGAAUCCAGGAGAGGUCAGUGGAAUUCCGAGUGUAGAGGUGAAAUUCGUAGA
rnacentral:rRNA from 1 species